rnacentral:tRNA from 1 species
CCUGGUGGCUCAGAAGUUAAAGCAUCUGCCUCCAAUGCAGGAGACUCGGGUUCAAUCCCUGGGUCAGGA